AGGGAAUCUUCCACAAUGGACGAAAGUCUGAUGGAGCAACGCCGCGUGAACGAUGAAGGCUUUCGGGUCGUAAAGUUCUGUUGUAAGGGAAGAACAAGUGCCGCAGGCAAUGGCGGCACCUUGACGGUACCUUGCGAGAAAGCCACGGCUAACUACGUGCCAGCAGCCGCGGUAAUACGUAGGUGGCAAGCGUUGUCCGGAAUUAUUGGGCGUAAAGCGCGCGCAGGCGGCCUCUUAAGUCUGAUGUGAAAGCCCCCGGCUCAACCGGGGAGGGCCAUUGGAAACUGGGAGGCUUGAGUAUAGGAGAGAAGAGUGGAAUUCCACGUGUAGCGGUGAAAUGCGUAGAGAUGUGGAGGAACACCAGUGGCGAAGGCGACUCUUUGGCCUAUAACUGACGCUGAGGCGCGAAAGCGUGGGGAGCAAAC
rnacentral:rRNA from 1 species